UGGCGCUACGGGAGGCAGCAGUGGGGAAUAUUGGGCAAUGGGCGCAAGCCUGACCCAGCAACGCCGCGUGAAGGAAGAAGGCUUUCGGGUUGUAAACUUCUUUUCUCAGGGACGAAGAAAGUGACGGUACCUGAGGAAUAAGCCACGGCUAACUACGUGCCAGCAGCCGCGGUAAUACGUAGGUGGCAAGCGUUAUCCGGAUUUAUUGGGUGUAAAGGGCGUGUAGGCGGGAGCGCAAGUCAGAUGUGAAAACUCAGGGGUCAACCCUGAGCCUGCAUUUGAAACUGUGUUUCUUGAGGGGUGGG
rnacentral:rRNA from 1 species